GCUAAUUAUUUUAGAUUGGGUUUUAUAUAUUAUUUUUUGUUGCAUGUAAGUUAAAGCGUUAAUAAAAUUUCUAUUUAAUAUUAGUAUUAGCUUGGUUGAAUCUACAGCAACUAGAUUUGCUUAUUUAAGAAAUUAAGAAGCAGAAAUUUUAAAGAAAAUAGACUAAGUUUGUGCCAGCAGUAGCGGUUAAACAAACUAUUUGAUAUAAAAUUAUUGGUGUUAGUUAAUUUUUUAUAAGAGGUUAAAAGAAGUUUUGUUAGGUGAAAUUUUAAAACUUUAAAGCCUUGUAGGGUUAAUUUGAGGCUAGGAAAAUUUUUAAAAAGACUAGGAUUAGAUACCCUAUUAUAGUAAUGUAAAUUUUAAAACCAGAUUAGUAAAAGUUAAUUUCUCUAAAAUUAAUGAAGAUGGCGGUAUUUUAGUCUAUUCAGAGGAGCCUGUCCUGUAAUUGAUGGUCCACGUUUUUUCAUACUUAUCUUAUUAACUUGCAUAUCGCCGUUUAAGAGUAUCUUUUUAAUGGGAAUAAUAUUCUGAAUCUUAGUUUUAAUAGGAAAUCAGGUCAAGAUGUAGUUUAUAGUUAAGAAGAGAUGGGCUACAGUAUUAAUAUAAUUGGAUUUUUUUUAGAAUAUAAGGAUAAAAGUGGAUUUGAGAGUAAAUUUAUAAAAUUAUGUAGAUUGAUUAAGCUCUAAAAUAUGUACAUAUCGCCCGUCGCUUUCAUUUAAGAUGAAAUAAGUCGUAACAAAGUAGGGGUACCGGAAGGUGCCCCUAGAAGCCC
rnacentral:ncRNA from 1 species